UACGUAGGGGGCAAGCGUUGUCCGGAUUUAUUGGGCGUAAAGAGCGUGUAGGCGGUUAUACAGGUCCGCUGUGAAAACUGGAGGCUUAACCUCCAGACGUCGGUGGAAACCGUAUAACUAGAGUCCGGAAGAGGAGAGUGGGAAUUCCUGGUGUAGCAGUGAAAUGCGCAGAUAUCAGGAAGAACACCCGUGGCGAAGGCGGCUCUCUGGGACGGUACUGACGCUGAGACGCGAAAGCGUGGGGAGCGAACAGG
rnacentral:rRNA from 1 species